GUUCUAAAAUAUUAAAGUAUGGGGAGCUUAUGAUGGCCUAAAUAUGGCAUGGUCAUUGGGCACUAAAAAUCUAAUCCUUAAUGUAACAACCCAAAUUUGCCCGGGCCCAAAAGCACAAACAAAAAUAAACAUUAAAUUAAAUUAAAUUAAAAACAAAAAAAAAAUAACAGUAAGCAGUCCAUUUUAAAUGUUCAUUUACAGACUUUAGGCCCAAUACAAACUAACCCAAUGUAUAGCCUAACACCAGCCAAAUUCUACCCUGACCCA
rnacentral:lncRNA from 1 species